CACGUAGGCACCAAGCGUUGUCCGGAUUUAUUGGGCGUAAAGAGCUCGUAGGCGGUUCAGUAAGUCGGGUGUGAAAACUCAGGGCUCAACCCUGAGCUGCCACCCGAUACUGCUGUGACUUGAGUCUGGUAGGGGAGUGGGGAAUUCCUGGUGUAGCGGUGAAAUGCGCAGAUAUCAGGAGGAACACCGGUGGUGAAGGCGGGUCUCUGGGCAGUAACUGACGCUGAGGAGCGAAAGCGUGGGGAGCGAACAGG
rnacentral:rRNA from 1 species